rnacentral:rRNA from 1 species
GAUGAACGCUGGCGGCGUGCCUAAUACAUGCCAGUCGAGCGAACGGACGAGAAGCUUGCUUCUCUGAUGUUAGCGGCUGACGGGUGAGUAACACGUGGAUAACCUACCUAUAAGACUGGGAUAACUUCGGGAAACCGGAGCUAAUACCGGAUGAUAUUUUGAACCGCAUGGUUCAAAAGUGAAAGACGGUCUUGCUGUCACUUAUAGAUGGAUCCGCGCUGCAUUAGCUAGUUGGUAAGGUAACGGCUUACCAAGGCAACGAUGCAUAGCCGACCUGAGAGGGUGAUCGGCCACACUGGAACUGAGACACGGUCCAGACUCCUACGGGAGGCAGCAGUAGGGAAUCUUCCGCAAUGGGCGAAAGCCUGACGGAGCAACGCCGCGUGAGUGAUGAAGGUCUUCGGAUCGUAAAACUCUGUUAUUAGGGAAGAACAUAUGUGUAAGUAACUGUGCACAUCUUGACGGUACCUAAUCAGAAAGCCACGGCUAACUACGUG